AUUGAACGCUGGCGGCAGGCCUAACACAUGCAAGUCGAACGAGUGGCGGGCGGGUGAGUAAUGUCUGGGAACCUGCCCGAUGGUGGGGGAUAACUAAUGGAACCGGUAGCUAAUCCCGCAUACCGUCGGGUGUGCCCAGCGGGGAUUAGCUGGUAGGUGGGGUAACGGCUCACCGGGGCGACGAUCCCUAGCUGGUCUGCGAGGAUGACAGGACAAACUGGAACUGGGACACGGUCAAGACUCCUACGCGAGGAAGCGGUGGGGAAGAUUGCACAAUGGGCGCAAGCGUGAUGGAGCGAUGCAGCGUGUAUGAAGAAGGCCUUCGGGUUGUAAAGUACUUACAGCGAGGAGCCGGUAGGCGGAGAAGAAGCACCGGCUAACUCCGUGCCAGCAGCCGCGGUAAUUC
rnacentral:rRNA from 1 species